rnacentral:misc_RNA from 2 species
AACGCAUCUUGCACCUUAUGGUAUUCCAUAAGGUACGUCUGUUUCAGUACCACUAGUAAAUCUCCCCUCCACCUUGGUGGUUUAAAAGGAAGAGAUAAAUUAUUACUGGUUCUGGUGAUUCUUGAUUUAUUAAGAAUUACUCUCGACCUAAAUAUAAGGCUCGACUUUUUUAUUAGAUCUCGCAUCUGGUAAAACCUAGUCGGCUUUAAUAGGAUUUAUUUCUUAUUAGGUUUAUAGCCAUCAUUUUACUUUUAAAUCUUGGCCUGAAAUCAGAUGGGACUACCCGCUGAACUUAA